rnacentral:rRNA from 1 species
AGUCGAGGGGUAUAGGUUUUCGGAUCUAGAGACCGGCGCACGGGUGCGUAACGCGUAUGCAAUCUACCUUUUGCAGAGGGAUAGCCCAGAGAAAUUUGGAUUAAUACCUCAUAGUAUGCAGAGUUGGCAUCAACACUGCAUUAAAGUCACAACGGCAAAAGAUGAGCAUGCGUCCCAUUAGCUAGUUGGUAAGGUAACGGCUUACCAAGGCUACGAUGGGUAGGGGUCCUGAGAGGGAGAUCCCCCACACUGGUACUGAGACACGGACCAGACUCCUACGGGAGGCAGCAGUGAGGAAUAUUGGACAAUGGGCGCAAGCCUGAUCCAGCCAUGCCGCGUGCAGGAUGACGGUCCUAUGGAUUGUAAACUGCUUUUGCACAGGAAGAAACAACGCUACGUGUAGCGUCUUGACGGUACUGUGAGAAUAAGGAUCGGCUAACUCCGUGCCAGCAGCCGCGGUAAUACGGAGGAUCCAAGCGUUAUCCGGAAUCAUUGGGUUUAAAGGGUCCGUAGGCGGUUUAGUAAGUCAGUGGUGAAAGCCCAUCGCUCAACGGUGGAACGGCCAUUGAUACUGCUAGACUUGAAUUAUUAGGAAGUAACUAGAAUAUGUAGUGUAGCGGUGAAAUGCUUAGAGAUUACAUGGAAUACCAAUUGCGAAGGCAGGUUACUACUAAUGGAUUGACGCUGAUGGACGAAAGCGUGGGUAGCGAACAGGAUUAGAUACCCUGGUAGUCCACGCCGUANACGAUGGAUACUAGCUGUUGGGAGCGAUCUCAGUGGCUAAGCGAAAGUGAUAAGUAUCCCACCUGGGGAGUACGUUCGCAAGAAUGAAACUC